UAGGGAAUCUUCGGCAAUGGACGAAAGUCUGACCGAGCAACGCCGCGUGAGUGAAGAAGGUUUUCGGAUCGUAAAACUCUGUUGUUAGAGAAGAACAAGGACGUUAGUAACUGAACGUCCCCUGACGGUAUCUAACCAGAAAGCCACGGCUAACUACGUGCCAGCAGCCGCGGUAAUACGUAGGUGGCAAGCGUUGUCCGGAUUUAUUGGGCGUAAAGCGAGCGCAGGCGGUUUCUUAAGUCUGAUGUGAAAGGCUCCGGCCCAACCGGGGAGGGUCACUGGAACCCGGGAGACUUGAGGGCAGAAGAGGAGAGUGGAAUUCUAUGUGUAGCGGUGAAAUGCGUAGUUAUAUGGAGGAACACCAGUGGCGAAGGCCGCUCUCUGGUCUGUAACUGACGCUGAGGCUCGAAAGCGUGGGGACCAAACAGU
rnacentral:rRNA from 1 species